CGCCGUAGCAGUACGGAGUGGCAGACGGGUGAGUAACGCGUGGGAACAUACCCCUCGGUUCGGAAUAACUUAGGGAAACUUGAGCUAAUACCGGAUACGUCCGAGGUUUUAACCGACCUCGGAGAAAGAUUUAUCGCCGGAGGAUCGGCCCGCGUCUGAUUAGCUUGCUGGUGAGGUAAUGGCUCACCAAGGCGACGAUCAGUAGCUGGUCUGAGAGGAUGAUCAGCCACAUUGGGACUGAGACACGGCCCAAACUCCUACGGGAGGCAGCAGUGGGGAAUAUUGGACAAUGGGCGAAAGCCUGAUCCAGCCAUGCCGCGUGAGUGAUGAAGGCCUUAGGGUUGUAAAGCUCUUUUACCCGGGAAGAUAAUGACGGUACCGGGAGAAUCAGCCCCGGCUAACUUCGUGCCGGCAGCCGCGGUAAUACGAAGGGGGCUAGCGUUGUUCGAAAUUACUGGGCGUAAAGCGCACGUUGGCGGAUCUUUAGUCAGGGGUGAAAUCCCGAGGCUCAACCUCGGAACUGCCUUUGAGCUGGGGAUAUCGAGUCCGGGAGAUGUGAGUGGAACUGCGAGUGUAGAGGUGAAAUCCGUAGAUAUUCCCAAGAACACCAGUGGCCAACGCUGCUCACUAGUCCGGUCUGACGCUCAGGUCCCAAGCGGGGGAGCAACACGAUACAUCCCUGGUAUCCCGCCGUAACAAUGGAGCUACCGUUUACGGUUGCUAUUAGUGGUCAUUACCCGUUAGCUCCCGCUGGGAGACGGCGCAGAUCAACUCAAGGAUUGAUGGGG
rnacentral:rRNA from 1 species